rnacentral:rRNA from 1 species
UACGAAGGGUGCAAACGUUGUUCGGAAUUAUUGGGCGUAAAGCGCAUGUAGGCGGCUUAGCAAGUCGGAUGUGAAAUCCCUCGGCUCAACCAAGGAAGUGCAUCCGAAACUGCUGAGCUUGAGUACGAAAGAGGAUAGCGGAAUUCCCGGUGUAGAGGUGAAAUUCGUAGAUAUCGGGAGGAACACCAGUGGCGAAGGCGGCGAUCUGGGUCGAUACUGACGCUGAGGAGCGAAAGCGUGGGGAGCGAACAGG